rnacentral:lncRNA from 1 species
UGGAACCUAUACCUCUCCUAGGGUGUUCUCUAGCUCACUGCGAGAGACUCUGCUGGUAGAUACCUACCAUCCACCAAAGCAAAAGUGUCAUGAACCCGUGUCAAUAGAAAAUAUGUGACCAUGGAUCGUUUCGUAAAGGAGCCAAGAGAAUUUUGUCGAUUUUUCAAACGUUAACUCAAACUUGAUUACCUAAGACACACAGUGUAUGGUCUGUGUAUAUUGUCUUUUUUAUUGUUUGUUUAGAUCUCUUGAUUCAUAUUCAUGAGGAUUAUUGGUGCAUGGAAUUCAUUUCAUAAUACGUUUCUGUUGCUUUGCUAUCAGAGUUAUUAUGGCACCAUAAAAUUUUAUAAGCUAUUCCUGAUUUACCUGUCAUCUCAGUACUUACAGGUUGGUUUUUCUCCUCCAUCUGCUCAAAUUCACUGAGCCCUGGAACACCAUCCCAGAACGCUGCAUUGGAACACUGCUUAGGAACGCUGCACUGGAACACCACCCGGGAACGCUGCACUGAAACACUGCUCAGGAAUGCUGCACUGGAACACCACUCAGGAAUGCUGCACUGGAACACCACUCAGGAAUGCUGCACUGGAACACCACUCAGGAAUGCUGCACUGGAACACUGCUCAGGAACGCUGCACUGGAACACCAUCCAGAAUGCUGCACUGGAACAGUGCUCUGGAACACUGCACUGGAACAGCACUCUGGAACGCUGCACUGGAACACAGCUCAGGAAUGCUGCCCUGGAACAGCACUCCGGAAUGCUGCUCUGGAACAUUGCUCUGGAGCACCACACACACCAGUGAUCCUUUGGACCACCUAUCAGUUUUUAAGCUAUGGUUUUUUUUUGGAGUCAAUUGUCUGUUAUAAGCUUUACUUUUAACUUGCUGGUAGUUUUGGACUUUUCCCUCCAUAUGUGUACUUAAUUUUUGCUUCAUUUUACCUUAAGAAAUGGCAUCUGAGGGUAAGCAUAUAGCCAUUCCUGUCAUUCAGGGUACCGUGUGGUGAAGUAGGCUCACAAACUUAGUCUAGUUAACGUUGUUCUUCUGGAUAAAUUCUUUAAUCCUGGGAUAUUACUGCCUCAUGACAUUUUGAAUCUGAUCUUGUAUAAUGUAUGCUAUUUGACUUCAUUCUCAUACAUGAAGAUAUCCUUGC